UACGGGGGGGGCAAGCGUUGUUCGGAAUUACUGGGCGUAAAGGGCGCGUAGGCGGCCUUCUAAGUCGGACGUGAAAUCCCUCGGCUUAACCGAGGAACUGCGUCCGAGACUGAAAGGCUUGAAUCCGGGAGAGGGAUGUGGAAUUCCAGGUGUAGCGGUGAAAUGCGUAGAUAUCUGGAGGAACACCGGUGGCGAAGGCGGCAUCCUGGACCGGCAUUGACGCUGAAGCGCGAAAGCUAGGGGAGCAAACGGG
rnacentral:rRNA from 1 species